AAAACUGGAAUGAACUUUUUGU
rnacentral:miRNA from 1 species